GUGGGGAAUAUUGGACAAUGGGCGAAAGCCUGAUCCAGCCAUGCCGCGUGUGUGAAGAAGGUCUUCGGAUUGUAAAGCACUUUAAGUUGGGAGGAAGGGUAGUAACCUAAUACGUUGCUACUUUGACGUUACCGACAGAAUAAGCACCGGCUAACUUCGUGCCAGCAGCCGCGGUAAUACGAAGGGUGCAAGCGUUAAUCGGAAUUACUGGGCGUAAAGCGAGCGUAGGUGGUUCAGUAAGUUGGAAGUGAAAUCCCCGGGCUCAACCUGGGAACUGCUUUCAAAACUGCUGAGCUAGAGUACGGUAGAGGGUGGUGGAAUUUCCUGUGUAGCGGUGAAAUGCGUAGAUAUAGGAAGGAACACCAGUGGCGAAGGCGACCACCUGGACUGAUACUGACACUGAGGUGCGAAAGCGUGGGGAGCAAACAGGAUUAGAAACCCCUGUAGUCC
rnacentral:rRNA from 1 species